GUCAACUUCCUUUGGAGGAUGUGCUGAUAUUUCUGUUUUAGUGUCUUGCUUCAUCCCUUCAUCUGGCCGUGCAGUAUUGGUCAAGUGACAGAGCAAGGUUGCAUUCUCUGAUGAAAAUUUCCUGGAAUAAACAGGAAAUGUUGGAAGUUGCAGAAACAGAUCAAAGAGCUGACAAGGUUUCAAACCAGUGAUCCUUCCCAUAUCAGGCACAUAUUAUAACCAUUGCAGUACUCAAGACUAUUAGCAACUAUAACCGAAAAGAAGAGCUUGGAGAACAGCAUGAAGGCAACUGUUGACUCAUGUGAAAUUGCUUUCUCCGACUGAGCACAGGAACCUAUCAAAAUGCAGGAUUAUAUCUAGCAGAAAGUAAAGUGCAACAGGCCAACUGGGCAACAAUGCUUGAGCCAGUAUAAUGCUGCUUUCAGUAUAUUGAGUGGGAUCAUAUUUGUGGUGGGCUUGGGAUGAAUAGAGGAUGAUCCCAACCAUUUCUGCCCUCCCAUAAUGGUUGGUAAUCCAUACUUAUAAGCAAUUUCUAAAAGUGCAAAUAUGCUCUAAAUGGCCAACCUGUCAGCAGCAUAUUUUACUGGCUGAAGGUUGUGAAAGCACAUUUAAAGACAGUUCCAAACAGAAAAUAUUGCAGUAAUAUAAUUAAAUUAGAUUUGCAGUUGGUGAACCAAUAUAAGUUAGUGAAAGUUCUCUUAGGCAUUUCACUGGAACUAUCAGGACAACCUUGAGCUGUGUUUCUGGCUUUCUAGAUAGAGUACACGCUGUGCAUGGAUGAUACUUCAAACCAUACAUCUAGCUACAAACCCAUUACUUUUAUAUGACCUUACUACCCAUAUCCAUGCAAAUAGCCAUAUUUAGUUACCCUUCACUUUAGUGGAAUUGUAUGAAAUCUCCAUAAAUGUAGGCAUACCAGCCAUAGCAUCCUUUGCACUGGAUGCUGUAGAAGCCUGUAAUGUAGGACAAUUUUUUUUUCUUAUUAGUAUCUGUAUCACAAGUGAAAUUCAGAAGAAAUCUAAGUCAAUGAAACAUUAAUUGAUUUAAGUCACUGAAACUUUAAUUAACCAAUUAAUAUAUUAAAUAUCAAUAUAUUAACAUAGUAAUAAUAGAUUUAAAUACUCUUGGGGAAAAAGGCCUUUUGUUUUGAUCAUGCUGGAAUCCAGUUUCUUUUAAUUGCCUGGUGGGACUUAAGAUAUGAAAAGUUAAGAACCAAUGGUGUAAAAAGAUAUUUGACGAUAUCAUUUUCAUAAAUUCAGUCAUAUGCCCUGUUAUUUGUAUGAAUAUGUGUGAUUUAUUGAAACACAUUAUGCAAGUACCUAAUUCUUUGGAAAUAUCUUUAAUGCUGGAAAGGUGGAGAAGAAGAUAACCAUCAGUAAGAUGGAUGGACUAAAUUGGAAUGGAAUUGGAAGUAGAAUGGCAAUGGCAAUAGGUGUACCAUUGGAAGACAUGAAAGGCCAGGUUGGGGACAAAGUCUCCUAAAUAAUUUAUAUCUGUGUGGUCACUAAGAGUUGAUGUUGACUUGAUGUUCCAUAAAGAUGUGCAUUUUAAAUUACAAUAGAGCUGUGGUUUAUUUAGGAUGGCAAUACAUUUUUCAGA